CCUACGGGAGGCUGCAGUGAGGAAUAUUGGUCAAUGGGCGCGAGCCUGAACCAGCCAAGUCGCGUGAGGGAUGACGGCCCUACGGGUUGUAAACCUCUUUUGCCGGGGAGCAACGGGCGCCACGUGUGGCGCCACUGAGAGUACCCGGAGAAAAAGCAUCGGCUAACUCCGUGCCAGCAGCCGCGGUAAUACGGAGGAUGCGAGCGUUAUCCGGAUUGAUUGGGUUUAAAGGGUGCGUAGGCGGAUCGUUAAGUCAGUGGUCAAAUUGAGGGGCUCAACCCCUUCCCGCCAUUGAAACUGGCGCUCUUGAGUGGAAGAGAAGUAUGCGGAGUGCGGGGUGUAGCGGUGAAAUGCAUCGAUAUCACGCAGAACCCCGAUUGCGAGGGCAGCAUGCCGGCUUCCGACUGACGCUGAAGCACGAACGCGUGGGGAUCGAACAGGAUUCGCUACCCCCUAGUC
rnacentral:rRNA from 1 species